rnacentral:rRNA from 1 species
AGUGAACGCUGGCGGUAGGCCUAACACAUGCAAGUCGAACGGCAGCACCGUAAGAGCUUGCUCUUACGGGUGGCGAGUGGCGGACGGGUGAGGAAUACAUCGGAAUCUACUUUUUCGUGGGGGCUAACGUAGGGAAACUUACGCUAAUACCGCAUACGACCUACGGGUGAAAGCAGGGGAUCUUCGGACCUUGCGCGAUUGAAUGAGCCGAUGUCGGAUUAGCUAGUUGGCGGGGUAAAGGCCCACCAAGGCGACGAUCCGUAGCUGGUCUGAGAGGAUGAUCAGCCACACUGGAACUGAGACACGGUCCAGACUCCUACGGGAGGCAGCAGUGGGGAAUAUUGGACAAUGGGCGCAAGCCUGAUCCAGCCAUACCGCGUGGGUGAAGAAGGCCCUCGGGUUGUAAAGCCCUUUUGUUGGGAAAGAAAAGCAGCAGGUUAAUACCCCGCUGUUCUGACGGUACCCAAAGAAUAAGCACCGGCUAACUUCGUG